CUUCUUCUUUUUCCGUUUCUUAUUCUUCUUGCCUUUCUACUUCUUCUUUUUCG
rnacentral:ribozyme from 1 species